CUGAUAGAAAAAGUGUGUAUAAUUGGCGUAUGUUUUGUUUUGAGACUAUAAUGGGCAUUUCUAUGGAGCUGUGAACUAUUUAAUUGAUUUUUAUAACAUACACUACGUUAGUUAAAAUAAGUAUUUUAUUAUAACCAGAUGUAGAUAUAACGGAACUGUUGGUAUUAUUUAACCAAUAAAAUGAUUGGAUGGAAUAAAAUUAUGUAAAUGUACUUUUGACUGUAUUUAAGGUUUUUAUUUUUGAUAUUAAAAUGAAUUUAUUAAUAAAUUCAAGGUAAUAGAAAUAAGUUGAUUCCAGUUGCCAACCAAUUAGGAAUAAACAAAACUUAUAUGGGGAAAACUACGAACUAUGUAAGUCUACACAUAUGUCUUUUUUUUUUGGUCAAUCUACACAUAUGUUUAAAUUAUAGGAGAUGUAAAGUAGUGAAAAGUAUAAAAAGUCAACAUAGCCUAUAAAAUAUUUAUAAUAGCAAUUAGCCACGAUAAUUUAAGCUAUAACAAAUAUGUUUAUAAUUGAUGUGAGAAUAAAGUUAAUAAGAUAUAUAAGAAACCAAUUUCUUAGUAAUAUUAUUAAAAUAAAUGAUACAUAGGCACAUUAUCACUUCUUUUAGCUAGGUUUAUUAAAUUCUUACAAAUUAUGUUUUUCCUGGGAUGUUUAUGUUCAUUUCACCUAGGUAAAAUUCUCACUAGUACAAAUUAUAGGAAUAACCCAUUAACUUCAAAUUUCUAGAACCUCUAUAAAUUAAUAAUAUUGAAACUUUGAAAUUUUAUUAAUUUAUAGAGAUAUUAAUUUACAAAAGUUUCCUUAUUUAGAUUUUUUAUUUUAAGAUAUAUUUAUUCUAAGAUAAGAGCAAGUUUGUGCACUGGCGAUUACUCGGCUGCGAAAAUCUCCCGAUCUAAACCCUUAGAAAAUUCGUACAUCAAACUCUGCACUUUGGGAAGUUCCAUGAAUGCUUUUACAGACUAGAAACAUAAUUUAAAGUAGAACUUAACAUUCUAGGUUUGUAUUAAAAUUAGGAGCAUAUGCAAGAGCGGUUCAACGUCUUCUGAAAUUAGAUACUAAUUUAAACAUUGUAUCAUUUCAGUAUUGUGUGUUCAUGUUACCGUUGAAUAAAACAAAACCAGAGAAUUAUUUCUCAAAACAUGGCCAAAACACUUGGUUCUCGGAGCCCCAAUAGUUUCCAUGUUUGUGUACUGAAUUUGAGAAAAGACAUUGUUUUCUUGGCGUUGGCUCUAACAAUAUUAAUACGUUAAAAAACAAAAAUAUAAAUAAUUAGAUUCCACAAUUUCAUUUACUAGAAUACUUAUUUGCUUAGUUAGCAUCAGACUUAUAGAUUUAUCGGCACCAACAUAACUCCUGAAUGUGCAUGUAACGACCCGGUUUUCUUAACCGGCUGGUUUGGUUUCUCUUUAAUUAAUUUGGAUUGAACCAAACCAUUUCUCAAUUUAAACCAUUAAUUUUUCUUUAGUUAAUCGUGGGUGUGGCAUUAUACCUAGCUAUAUAUAUUAAUUGUAUUUACCUCUUUCCAGACUAAAACCUAAAACUCCAUUAUUUCUCCGCCACCUUCCCGUGCGAGAGUUUUAUGUCAAACGUCUCACACCAACUUCAUCAUCUUCUCUCCGUUAUUAUUCUCCUCUAGCACAUCUUCUCUUGCACUCGUGUUUGUCUCGUUGUCUCAUGGAAUAGUGGAUUCCAUAUCCGCCGCCGUUCAUCACAUCCUCCAUAGCCACCAUCACGCCUUGAUCACUACCGGAGAUAGCCUUGCGAUCGGAGAUGUCGUCGCUUGCAUGCGGAGGUACACUAGCCCGUGAUGUGGAGGAGAGACAAACGCACCCGUCGUAUUGCGUCACCGUCACCGUCACCCAUCACACUAGAGAUCUGAGAUGUCAUUGUACGAGUCGCCGACAGCCAUAUCGGAUUUACCCGAGUGUGUUUGAUCGUGACAUGUACUUCAGACCAAGGUUCCCCCUUCUCUUAUUUGAUCAAACGUGAGCCCAUGUGUAUGAUUUAAGUGCACUCCUCAUGUUUCUUGCGAAUUAUGUUUCCUUAAAACCCUAUUUUUAAUUAUUUAAUAAUUAUGUAUUUUGUCUUGUCUUGUUUCCGUUUCAUUCCAAUUUGUCGAGAGAUUGAGACUCGAGAUCCAUGGCAAUAUCCUAGCUUUCUUGCUAAUCAAGUUAUCUCAUUUAUUGUUGGAGCCAUUUCCGGUUUUCCGAUAAGGCAAAGGGGGAGAUGGUUUCAAUCUGAUGAAGACAGUCCGACCAGAUGAGUUUUGUUCUUCAUAACAUAAAGACUCAAUCCUAUCCAUCGCUAACAGCAUCGACAACCAGACGAGGUCUUGCUUCUCUUAAACAAGACCAUUGCCACGACCCCAGUAGUAUUAUCACAACAAACUUGCAUUCGACUUCAGUAAUUGAAGAAGGACUAACGAUUAAGAUCUUAAUGGGAUAAUACUAUCAGAGAUAAGGGGACAAGAAUUCAUGCUUCAGUUGGUGAACAACUCAUCAAAAAAUUCGAUGACAAGCUACGCUAGGGAGAUGCGAUUGUCCUCCAGUUGUUCAAAGUGUACGAUAUAAUUGACUUCUUUCACACAACAUUUGUUGGAAUAGCUGAUGAUUUUCCAAGUGCAGUUCCCGAAAAGUAUUUCGCGGACUUCUCUGAUAUUCUUGGUGGAAAUCUUGACCAUAGCUGUUUGGUUGAUGUGGUUGGCCAAAUAGUUAACUUCGGGUCUCUGGAAAACAAAAUAAUAAAAGGAAAAGACAACAUGAGGCUCUUGGUUGAGUUGCGUGACCCAAAUAAUGUGAAGAUGAUGUGUACUCUGUGGGGUAGUUAUGCUAAACAAGUAUACGAUUACAGUAGGAGUAACAUGUCCACCAUGAUUAUUUGUGUGAUCAGAUUCUGUUCUGUUAAAGAGUGCAAAGGUGCUUACUCCAUAUCUAGCGGGUAUAAUUCAACCCAUAUCCUGCUCAACCCAACACUUGAUUUUAUUGAGGAGUUCAAAGCAAGUCUCCCUGAUGAUUCACUUGCUCUUACGAACAACGAUAGUAGCCAAUGGUCUGUUGGUACUGCUACUUCUAUUUGUGCCAGGUUUUUUGUUCUUAAUGAGAGGCUAACCAUCGGAGAGACCAUUGAUAGCUAUGUGGUUGGCACUUUUGUUACUCUGGGGACCAUUGAAACAAUUGAUACUGAACGUGGCUGACAAUAUCUAAGUUGCAAAUACGACAACAAAAAAGUGAUGCCUACAACCAAUGUUGAUGCUGAUGACCGGCCCUUGUUCUUCUGCAAUACGUGUGACAAAGAACACAGUGAUGUUAUUUCCAGGUUCAAAUUAAUUGCCAAUGUCAAGGACGAUAGCGGUGAGGCUAAUUUUCUGUUGUUUGAUGCUAAUGCUCAAGCAAUUGUGCGUCAUUCUGCUGCUGAACUCUAUGACGAGAAUGAAGAUGAAGACUUCUUACCUGAAGCAGUGAGCGAUCUCUUUGGUAAGAGAGUCCUUUUUGAGAUUUCAGUUGACGCUGAUAACAUCAAAGGAAAGAGUUCUCAGUAUGUUGUUCGAUUGGCUACUGAUGACCGUGAAAUGGUUGAGGAAUUUGCUGAUUUGCCUCCUAAAUCUAACCCGGUACUAAUGUUGGAGUCCGCAGAUGAUAUUUCCUCUGGUUCUGGUGGUUUUACAGCAACUCCUUUGUCCAAAAGAAAAAGCGAACAAGAUGACGACAGUUGCCUUGAGGAUCAACACUCUGUUAACAAGAAACUCUCUCAAAAGAAACUCAAGGGCGAGUGAGCUGUCUCUUUUUGAUGAGUUGAUGUCCUUUAUAGUGUUAUGGCUUUGUUUUUGCUUCAUUUUUUAAAACUUUAUCUGAGUAUCUUUGUCUUUGGUUUUGUUUAAGAUUUAGUCCGACCAUCUUUGUUUUUUGCUUUUAAUUGGAAUAAAAAUUUAUCAAGUUCCAAUCUAAACCAGACAACCUUUUCUUUGGUUGGCUCUGACUUUUGAUUUGGUAUUUAUGCCAAUCGGUAACGUCUUAGAAUCAUUACAUUGGUAAAAUUCCUUAUUCGGAGAGUUCUUUGGUUGGUUCUGACAAUAGAUUUUGUAUUAAGCUCAAAUUGGCAUAAAUACAAAGUUAGCCCAUUUGAAAUACUGAAUAACAAAAAAUGUAACCGAAAUUUUACUAAUCGUAACAUUAUUAUCAAACCGAUCCCCCUUAUUAGAAUUUUAUUGGUAGUAAUACAAUCUCAGCCCAUUUGUAAUACCCAACUAAAAACCAAUUUAUUGCCCGAAUAGUAUUUAAGCCCAUAAUUUUGUAGCUGCUAUACUAUUAAAUACUUUUUGACGUUUUUUUUAUAGACAGUAUUAGACUAUAUUUUUUAAUAUGAAAACUUCUUUGUAUAUUAAUUUGAAGAUUCUUUAACUAAACAUUUAUCUAAAAAAAUCAUGCAAAUAGAUCAUAGAUAUAAACCAAGGUAGUGCAACCAAUGGGUUCUUUGUACAGGAAGUGAAAAUCGAAAAUUAUUAAAAAAACAGAAGUUUAAUGCAUAACCUUUUUCAGAUAAAGGUUAUCGAGAUUAUUUUGGAAGAAAAUAAUUAUCAUAUUUAUAAUAAAAACAUACACGGAAAAUAUGAUUAAGUCGGUAUAUAAAACAAUUAAUUGGAAAGGUAAAUACAAUUAACAUAUUUAUAAUUUAUGUUUUCGAUAAGUAAUGUGAAAAGACACGACUCAUCGAGAGUCCCCUAGACAUUAUAAAUACAGCAGUGAAUAAUUGUGAACAAAAUCUUUCAUCUCACUUCUUCUCCGAUUGAGUCUCUCCAACUUUCGGUAAGUUUAUUUUCUUUCUCUUUAGUUUUUUCUUUCAAAUAUAUUGCAUGUAGAUCCAUCAAUUUUCUGUAUAAGCGGUUACCAAUUGAAUCAAGACUUUUUAGGUUUUGUAUCCGUCAUGCGUCUUUUUGUUCAAAAACCUGUCUAGGAUCUUGGUAGGCUUGCUUUCUGUAAAAAUCAAUGAGUAUUUAGGAGAUCUUAUGUGUACAACUGCUUAUUAUUGAUCGUUGUAACUAUUUUUUCCGCUGGCAUAAUAUAACGUUUAUAACUAAUACUGUUUAUAAUAAGCAGAUCGACCAACAUCUCGCGAUGGCAUUCAAGAAGGACCUUAAACGCAAGUCUCCAAUGACUGAUGAUUACGGUACUUCUCUUGAAGAGGCAUUCAAAAAUGGAAUGGAGGGGACGACUGCGCAUUACCAAGCCAUUCUCUUUAUGUACAAGCAACUACAUGAUGCGCUCAUCAAGAAGCAUGCUGAAGAACUUGAAGUCGCUCGCGUACAAGGUAAACUGGAACUCUUUGACGAACUCUUCAACAUGUCUGCAUUGAGCGAAGAGAAAGAGAAGAUAGAGUCGGAACUCGUGCUUGCAGAGGCCAAGGCGGCUGAUGUGAAGGUUCCUUACAUCGAUUGGUAGAAGUUGAAUGAGCCACAGAUGUUUGAUUAACCUUGUCAAUUUCUUGUUUGCUUCAAG